rnacentral:rRNA from 1 species
AGAGAUUGAACAUAAGAGUUUGAUCCUGGCUCAGAUUGAACGCUGGCGGCAUGCUUUACACAUGCAAGUCGGACGGCAGCACAGGGAAGCUUGCUUCUCGGGUGGCGAGUGGCGAACGGGUGAGUAACAUAUCGGAACGUACCGGGUAGCGGGGGAUAACUGAUCGAAAGAUCAGCUAAUACCGCAUACGUCUUGAGAGGGAAAGCAGGGGACCUUCGGGCCUUGCGCUAUCCGAGCGGCCGAUAUCUGAUUAGCUGGUUGGCGGGGUAAAGGCCCACCAAGGCGACGAUCAGUAGCGGGUCUGAGAGGAUGAUCCGCCACACUGGGACUGAGACACGGCCCAGACUCCUACGGGAGGCAGCAGUGGGGAAUUUUGGACAAUGGGCGCAAGCCUGAUCCAGCCAUGCCGCGUGUCUGAAGAAGGCCUUCGGGUUGUAAAGGACUUUUGUCAGGGAAGAAAAGGCCGUUGCCAAUAUCGGCGGCCGAUGACGGUACCUGAAGAAUAAGCACCGGCUAACUACGUGCCAGCAGCCGCGGUAAUACGUAGGGUGCGAGCGUUAAUCGGAAUUACUGGGCGUAAAGCGGGCGCAGACGGUUACUUAAGCAGGAUGUGAAAUCCCCGGGCUCAACCCGGGAACUGCGUUCUGAACUGGGUGACUCGAGUGUGUCAGAGGGAGGUGGAAUUCCACGUGUAGCAGUGAAAUGCGUAGAGAUGUGGAGGAAUACCGAUGGCGAAGGCAGCCUCCUGGGAUAACACUGACGUUCAUGUCCGAAAGCGUGGGUAGCAAACAGGAUUAGAUACCCUGGUAGUCCACGCCCUAAACGAUGUCAAUUAGCUGUUGGGCAACUUGAUUGCUUGGUAGCGUAGCUAACGCGUGAAAUUGACCGCCUGGGGAGUACGGUCGCAAGAUUAAAACUCAAAGGAAUUGACGGGGACCCGCACAAGCGGUGGAUGAUGUGGAUUAAUUCGAUGCAACGCGAAGAACCUUACCUGGUUUUGACAUGUGCGGAAUCCUCCGGAGACGGAGGAGUGCCUUCGGGAGCCGUAACACAGGUGCUGCAUGGCUGUCGUCAGCUCGUGUCGUGAGAUGUUGGGUUAAGUCCCGCAACGAGCGCAACCCUUG